CCUACGGGUGGCAGCAGUGAGGAAUAUUGGUCAAUGGCCGAGAGUCUGAACCAGCCAAGUCGCGUGAAGGAAGACUGCCCUACGGGUUGUAAACCUCUUUUGUCUGGGAGCAAAGCUAACCACGUAUGGUGCAUUGUGUGUACCCUAAGAAAAAGCAUCGGCUAACUCCGUGCCAGCAGCCGCGGUAAUACGGAGGGUGCGAGCGUUGUCCGGAAUUAUUGGGGUUAAAGGGUGCGUAGGCGGCAGGUAAAGUCAGGUGUGAAAGGUGCAGGCUCAACCUUUAUAUGGCACUUGAUACUUGGAAGAUGGAAUGCGGCAGAGGUAAAGGGAAGUCGUGGUGUAGCGGUGAAAUGCUUAGAUAUCAGGAGGAACUUCGGUGGCGAAAGCGGUCUACUGGGCCGUAAUUGACGCUGAGGAACGAAAGCCAGGGUAGCAAAUGGGAUUAGAUACCCCUGUAGUC
rnacentral:rRNA from 1 species